rnacentral:rRNA from 1 species
AACGCGAAGAACCUUACCUACCCUUGACAUGCCCGGAAGCCCGGUGAGAGCUGGGGGUGCCCGAAAGGGAGCCGGGACACAGGUGCUGCAUGGCUGUCGUCAGCUCGUGUCGUGGGAUGUUGGGUUAAGUCCCGCAACGAGCGCAACCCUUGCCAGUAGUUGCCACAUUCAGUUGGGCACUCUACUGGGACUGCCGGUGACAAACCGGAGGAAGGUGGGGAUGACGUCAAGUCCUCAUGGCCCUUAUGGGUAGGGCUUCACACGUAAUACAAUGGCGCGUACAGAGGGUUGCCAACCCGCGAGGGGGAGCCAAUCCCAGAAAGCGCGUCGUAGUCCGGAUUGCAGUCUGCAACUCGACUGCAUGAAGUCGGGAUCGCUAGUAAUCGCGGAUCAGCGAUGUCGCGGUGAAUACGUUCCCGGGUCUUGUACACACGC